rnacentral:lncRNA from 1 species
AUGGCCUUUAAAGAUACCAGAAAAACAGCUGUGGAGCCAGGGGUGGUGGUUCAUGGAAUUAGAAUAAAACCCCUGGAGAAGGUGUGUGCUGACUUGAUCACAGGCAAAAAGUUUAAAAAUCUCAAGUAAAAGGACCAGUCUGUAUGCCUACCAAGACUCUGAAAAUCACUACAAGAAAAACUCCUUGUGGUGAAAGUUCUAAGGCACUGGGAUGGUUUCCAGAUGAGAAUCCAAAAGUGACUCACUGACUUGCACAGUCCUUCCAAGAUUGUCAAGCAGAUUAUUUCCAUCAGUGUUGCGCCAGGAAUCGAUUCUGAAGUCACCAAUGCAGAUGUUUAA